CCUACGGGAGGCAGCAGUGGGGAAUAUUGCACAAUGGGCGAAAGCCUGAUGCAGCGACGCCGCGUGAGGGAUGACGGCCUUCGGGUUGUAAACCUCUUUCAGCAGGGAAGAAGCGAGAGUGACGGUACCUGCAGAAGAAGCGCCGGCUAACUACGUGCCAGCAGCCGCGGUAAUACGUAGGGCGCAAGCGUUGUCCGGAAUUAUUGGGCGUAAAGAGCUCGUAGGCGGCUUGUUGCGUCGGUUGUGAAAGCCCGGGGCUUAACCCCGGGUCUGCAGUCGAUACGGGCAGGCUAGAGUGUGGUAGGGGAGAUCGGAAUUCCUGGUGUAGCGGUGAAAUGCGCAGAUAUCAGGAGGAACACCGGUGGCGAAGGCGGAUCUCUGGGCCAUUACUGACGCUGAGGAGCGAAAGCGUGGGGAGCGAACAGGAUUAGAUACCCUGGUAGUCCACGCCGUAAACGUUGGGAACUAGGUGUUGGCGACAUUCCACGUCGUCGGUGCCGCAGCUAACGCAUUAAGUUCCCCGCCUGGGGAGUACGGCCGCAAGGCUAAACUCAAAUGAAUUGACGG
rnacentral:rRNA from 1 species